GCUCCCUGAUGUUAGCGGCGGACGGGUGAGUAACACGUGGGUAACCUGCCUGUAAGACUGGGAUAACUCCGGGAAACCGGGGCUAAUACCGGAUGGUUGUCUGAACCGCAUGGUUCAGACAUAAAAGGUGGCUUCGGCUACCACUUACAGAUGGACCCGCGGCGCACUAGCUAGUUGGUGAGGUAACGGCUCACCAAGGCGACGAUGCGUAGCCGACCUGAGAGGGUGAUCGGCCACACUGGGACUGAGACACGGCCCAGACUCCUACGGGAGGCAGCAGUAGGGAAUCUUCCGCAAUGGACGAAAGUCUGACGGAGCAACGCCGCGUGAGUGAUGAAGGUUUUCGGAUCGUAAAGCUCUGUUGUUAGGGAAGAACAAGUGCCGUUCAAAUUGGGCGGCACCUUGACGGUCCCUAACCAAAAGGCCACGGCAAAUUACUUGCCACCACCCGCGGUAAUACUUAGGUGGCAAGCGUUGUCCGGAAUUAUGGGGCGUAAAGGGCUCGCAGGCGGUUUCUUAAUUCUAAUGUGAAAGCCCCCGGCUCACCCGGGAAGGGUCAUUGAAAACUGGGGAACUUGAUUGCAGAAAAGAAGAUUGAAAUUCCACGUGUACCGUUGAAUUGCGUAAAGAUGUGAAGGAACACCAUUGGCAAAGGCAACUCUCUGGUCGGUAACUGACGCUAAGGACCGAAACCGUGGGAAGCGAACAGGAUUAGAUACCCGGGUAGUCCACGCCGUAAACAAUAAGUGCUAAUUGUUAGGGGGUUUCCGCCCCUUAUUGCUGCAGCUAAGGCAUUAAGCACUCCGCCGGGGGAGUACGGUCGCAAGAACUGAAAACUCAAAGGAAUUUGACGGGGGGCCCGCCACAAGCCGGUGGAAGCAAGGGGGUUUAAAUUCGAAACCAACGCCGAAAGAACCUUAACCAGGGUCUUGGACAU
rnacentral:rRNA from 1 species